rnacentral:rRNA from 1 species
AGAGGGAAACAGCCCAGACCGCCAACUAAGGUCCCCAAGUCAUAGCUAAGUGGGAAACGAAGUGGGAAGGCCCAGACAGCCAGGAGGUUGGCUUAGAAGCAGCCAUCCUUUAAAGAAAGCGUAAUAGCUCACUGGUCGAGUCGGCCCGCACGGAAGAUUUAACGGGGCUAAGCUAUGCACCGAAGUUGCGGAUAUAGAUAAUAUAUGGUAGGGGAGCGUUCUGUAAGCCGAUGAAGGUGUGUUGAGAAGCAUGCUGGAGGUAUCAGAAGUGCGAAUGCUGACAUGAGUAACGAUAAAGGGGGUGAAAAUCCCCCUCGCCGAAAGACCAAGGGUUCCUGCGCAACGUUCAUCGGCGCAGGGUGAGUCGACCCCUAAGGCGA